CGGGCAGCGGCGGGGGGCCGGGGGCGCGGCUUGGUGGCGGCCGGGUGCAGCGUCCGCUCCGCUCUGCUCUGCGGAAAAGGGUUUUCUCCGCCCCCCGCCCAUCACUGGGAUCUGGGGGGUGGGGGGGCGGGAUUUUCCGUGCGAGUGCCCCCCUCCGCGGCCGGGAGGAUUUGAGGCUGCAAUCCAGGCGGAGGCUGCAGGGCCCGGGUGAGGUGCCCCCGGCUCCUCGCACGCCUCCCCGGAGCUCUGGAAGGCGCAGCCCCAGGGGACCCUCCCUGCACCCCCGGAGCUGGCAGCCUCGGUGUGACCUCAGGCAAGUUCCUUCUCCUGUUUGGGCCUCAGUUUCCCCAUCUACAGGUGCAAGCGAAAGAGCAGCUCCUGGAGCGGAGGGAAUACAGCAGUGCCCGAGGGAACGUGCCUGAGCCAGUUCCUGCUAGGAUGUACCAGCAACUCGUGGCAAGGUGCAUUCACCGCACGUGCUCGAAGGCCACUACACUGGAUGGCGUGUUCUGAAUACUCCAGCAAGUGCUCUUGAUCUCAGUAGUGCCUGACUUCCUAGGUCGAAGUGCUGUAAUUCCAACUCAAGUACCUGGCUGUGCUCUGGGAGUCUUGGCACCGCAGUCAGCCACAGAGCUGAUGUCUGUCCUGGCUCCAAGGAUGUGGUGUGAUGAGGAGAUAGGGAGAAACUCUCAGGUCCAGGCCGUGACCAAAUUGAUGACAGCUGCCACCACAGAGGACGGCCCCACCUGAUGUGUCCAUGAGUAGACACGUAAGCAGCAGCAGAGAAGGAUCCCAUAAACUCCGAAAGCAAAUGUGACUCUAAGUGCACUUCCAGAUUGAGCCAUGAACUUGCCAGAAAGUCAAUUUACCAGAAGUUUACCCAAGGAUGGAAGAACCAGGACUGUCAUCAACAAAGGUAGACGGCAGGACAUUCUACAAACUACCCACCUUCUCCAAUGAAAAAACGGCACAUGAGGUGGAAAAGGACAGAGAAUCUGCAGACUGAGAAAGACCAAAGAGACACAGCGGCCCCUUGCCACCUGUGGCUCUCCUGGAUCCUGAUUUGCUAACUGGAGAGAAGACAGUAUGGGGCAGGGGAGGGCUCACUCCUCACAGGCAGCUGACCCCAGUUCAGUCACUGGCUCCAUAUACGAUCUCCGAGCACUGCCAGAGGGGCCCAGUAAUCCCAGGCCUGCACUGAAUCACCAGUUGCUUUGAAGGCGCUGCCACAUCACUUGAGCAUCACGUGGGGUCCCCCACCCCCCAAAACGAAAACCUUGAAGACAGAGAAUUCUGAGUCCUGUAUUUUGGCUGAUACUGAAGCCUCACUGGUACACUGGCAAAUUUCGGGAGCGGAGAUGCCUUUUUUAAUUCUGGGUUUUGUUUAUUUUGUUUUUUUAGUCAUCUACUAAAAUAUUUGCAAAGGCCACUGACUCACAUCUGUGACUGGCUUCCAUGGCCCUGGGAGGAGGGGGCAAGGUCGGUGGGAACAAGAGUGGCUGGAGCUGGUGGGAGUGAGUGCUUCACACUUUGCGUAAUAAAAACCAUG